GCACAAUGGGUACUGACGCAGCGUGACAUCGACUGACGUCCCUCUGUAUUUCUUGUAACAAAUUUCAUUUUUCUACAGAUAGUUACUGAAUACAUUUUCAACGGUCGGUUACUAUGCUAAAAGGGUUACUUAGGAACUGUUGCUAAGGCCGUUACAUUUUCAAACGGCUCCACCUUUGGGAUUGAUGGAAAUCUGAUGGAGAACAUUUAUGAGAAGUUUCAUGCUUGUAUCAUCAUCGUAUUUUUAUACCAAUCGUCCAGACUAGAAGGUUUCUGCACAAAAGUCCGUAUAACUUGAAUAACUUCUUCAAAAUCUUAUUUUGGCCGUAUUCAUGACCAUGACAGCGAAAAUCUGAUUAGGCCAUCAUUCUUCAUCGAGCUGCAGCCUCUGCCUCCAUGUCUGUCUGUCUUGGCUGGAGCGACUAAAUCUAAGAGCUCUCCUGGCAGGCGGAGAACGUGUCGACCUUGUCUCGUCCUCUGUUACAGGAAGGAGGCUCUGAUCAGCUCUGCAGAGAGGAUGUGGGGAUAACUGGCAGGAAACCAGGUGAGAGGAGGAACAGGAUUACCCAGCAGACCCCACCCUGCCGCCUUCACCUCAUCAUGACCUGCCCGGUCACCCACAGACUCCCCUUCUGAACACAAUCCUCACUGGAUUUCCCUCACCAGCACUGACCUAGCAGGAACUCCAAAUACAAAGCUUAAAACAGGAUUCUCAGAACAGAAACUCUCUCUGGUACCUGUAGCAAAUAAACACAAUUCAAAGAAAGAUUAAGAUUCGCCUGGCAGUUUUUCAGAUUUCUUUCGGGUUGCAAGAAAUGUGCAUGCAUUUAUUUACAGUACAAAUAAUUGUCAUGCUUCUUCCUUCCUCAAGCACUUCAUGACUGAACUUGAUUAUGAUCUGAUCUGCAUGCAGAAACUACCUGCAUGUCAUUACCCGGCAUCAGCAGCUUACAUGUUCAAGAUUUAAAGGUCACAUAAUAUAUCUCUAUGGUAAUCAGACACUAUGGUAUUGCAGUACAACACUCCAGGACGUGUGCCUGAUGUUAACAUAAACUAUUAUGUGUCAACAUAUUCAAAUAAAAAAUGAGCCUGGAAUGGUUUGUAAUUACCAAUCAGUGACU